AUAUCAAUAAAUUUAAUUUAAAACAUUAUAGAGGAUAACAUGCUGUUUGGUCUGAUGGUAUAACUGUCGUAGGCCUAAUAUUGUAAGACGUUUGUAUUUGUCUUUGUAGAGCUUCCGCAAACAAAUCUUUAAGCCUUGAAUUUACACAAGAGAUACAUAGUUUACAUGCGAAAGUACCCUUAGAACGGGAAAGAUUGUACAUAAAUGAUCUCAGACUCAAUUUUUUGAACAUUGAAAAUAAUUUUGGAUAUAUAAAAAUGCUGAAAACCCCCUUUGACAUGCAUGUUUUAACGUUUAAACGUGUUUGAACAAAAUAGAAAACAGAUGUUACUUUCAAUAUGUAAUUUUCAAACAUUAAAGUGAAUUAACUUUUAUCGGUAAUCCAGAAAUAACACCCAAUUGGGAUCACAUUUUUACGCGACAAAGAAUCUGAUUGGGUAUGAAUACUUCAAUAUUAUAUUUCGAUUUAACAAAGAGGAAUAUUCAUGAAUAUAUUGUUUAAAUGUCGAUAGAAACCACAUCUUAAUGGAGCACGAGUUGUAAAUCAGUUAACAACUUAUUUUUUACAGGUUGAAACUACGAAUCGAAGAUGGCCGAAGGGAUCUCGCUAAAGGGUAUUGAUAAUUUUGGAAAUACAAUUGAGACAUGUCACAAAAAUAGCAACAAGGAAGAUGCCACAUUGGGUACAACUUCUGUAAAUGUUUGUGGCACCGAUGCAUCUAGUAACCAAGAAUUACAGGCUACACUGACAGCUCAACCUGGUCAGCAUUUGAAACGUAAUAAAUACCCAUAUCUGAUUGCAACAUUUGCCGUUUCAACUUGUAUAGCCUCCAUUGUGUGCGCCAGUAUAGUUAUAUAUGCAGUGUUAAAUUCAGGAGAUACUGUAAGCACUCGAGCAGAAGGCAGUGUGCCUACAUCAAUUUCAGGUGACCAUCCUGUCAAUCGCAGCACCGUACAGUGCGUCAGUAUCACUGAAUUACGAUUGAAAGCUAAGGACAAGAUGAAAAGUCGUUACCUUGACAAUAACAGAGAAUUUUCAACUGAAUUUCAACCGGUGGGCUGUCUUCAUAUUCCGCAAGGUAACUGCAGUGGAGUCUUGCCCUACGCAAAAACAUUCAUUCCCAACAAAUACGUUGAUUCAUUUGAAACAGCUAAAAAUUACCUAGAAGAAAUCAGUGGUCUACAAGAUUGCGAUACGCAUGCUCUGUAUGUAGUAUGUUCUUGGCUAUAUCCACCUUGCAUUACUGACACACUUCAAGUAGUGCCCUGUAAAGGUGUUUGCGAGGGUGUGGUUAAUGGUUGCCAAGAAAUCUUUAAUACGACAGCCAUUGGAUCGGAGCUUUCUUGUGACUAUUCUCCUGUAGGUGAAGCUAAUGAAAUGGAUUGCCGACAAAGCUGCUCAUAUAACAUUUACUUAAACGUUGGUGAAGUGUUUCAAUUCACAUCUCCAAACUAUCCACUGGCUUUUCCUUCUAACACCUAUUGUGUCUGGCUGAUAACAUCUCCACGGUCUACCAGAAUCAAAUUCAAAUUUACAAAUGUCGAUCUCGCCGAGGAUUUUGAUCAUCUUCAACUUAGCUCCAAACAUAAUCCUUAUGAAUAUUACAAACGUGAAGUGACGAAUGAUAUCGAAGUUUUUACAGUCCUAAAUUGGGCUUCUGUGAUUUUCAAAAGCCACAAUAUAGUCAACAUGAAGAGAGGAUUCUCUGCAGAGGUUACAGCUAUCGAUAAGAAAGAUGCUUUAUCCUGUACCGGAAAUUGGUGGGAUAAACUUACAUUUAUUACAAGUUUAAACGAAGAUGAACUAUGUGAUGGUCAAGAAAAUUGUGAAAAAUAUAAAGAUGAUGAGUAUUUAUGCCGAUCAGAAUGUGGAUAUGAUGUCUUGUUGACAGAUGAAAAUAGUGUCGAAGUCUUAUCAUCUAUGAAUCACUCCAAGGCAAUUGAACAGUGUAUAUACACAUUCACAAGUCCAACACGUACUAAAUUAAAGAUGGAAUUUCUGAGUUUGAAAGGCGCCGUGAGCGGUUGCAACUUUAAAAUGGGUGCAGGAACAAAUCCAUUCAAUACAACUAGCGAAUUUACAUCAUUGCCUCUGAUAUCUACUGGAAUUGAUCUCCCCGGAAACAUGGCUUGGAUAUGGUUCGCACAAACUCCAGAGAACUCUAGCUUUGUGGUUCGCUUGAGUUCAUUCAUUGAGAGUAAAAUCAUUAACAUUGCGGCUAAUGAUUCAUAUAUCAUAGACAAUAAUUCGCAUUCGAUCAACUCUUGGCUUGAAUACGGUUGUUUAGUUUUCAAGUCUUCGUCUGGUUAUCAUUUCAAGUUGACGUUUUUGAAUGAUAUCUUGGACUUAAGAAAGACGUCUGAAUUCUAUGACCCAGGAUAUAACAAGAUAGCUUUUGGUUUAGGAUCGGACUCAUUGAAGUACAAUGUAUUCACAUUAGAGUCUGAUUACGACGACAUGUUGGAGUUGUACACGGAUGCUAUUUGGUUGAAAAUGGACGGAUAUGGGCCGUAUGCUAUUGGAAUCACUAUUUCAACUAUACUUACAAGAGAAGAUUAUAGGACACACAUACUUGUUAAGGAUGUUGCAACAAUAACAUAUCCAUCGUCAGAGAUUGGCAAUGUUGAAGAAAGCAGUAAUGUUUCUACCACAGUAUGGAUAGUCACAUCUAUAAGAUACCCGAAUAUUGCAGUGAAAUUUAUCAACUUCUCUUAUGGAACAUCUGAAUUUAACUUUAUUACUAUUGGACACGGUGUUAAUACUGAAUUGUCGUCCUCAAUCCUUUUCCAAGGUCUUGCUUUAGAUUUCCAAAGAACGCUUCCCCAUGAUUUAAUUAUUCAUUAUUCAACAUUCUGGGUUCGACAUACCUCAUACCGACGAAUAAAUGAUACACGUUUUUCUAUGGAGCUUCGAGGCCUACCAGAUAGAGACAAUAUAAUAUGCCCCACGAAAACUGUGCAAGAUAUCUGUGAUGAUGAGUUUGAUUGUCCAGAUCUUAGAGACGAAAUAGGCUGUGUUGAUCCAGGUAUCUCUUGCGGCCAGAGACCUCUUCACCCAGACGUACGUACCAAACGAGUAAUUGGUGGAACGGAACCGCUUCCUGGUAGCUGGCCCUGGCAAGGUCUCAUCUUCUAUGGGGAUUCGCCUAAGUGUGGCUGUACCCUCAUCAAUGAAUUAUAUGUAAUUUCAGCAUCUCAUUGCUUUUCAGGAUCUAAUAACAUACUGGAUGAUAUUAGAGUUAUGUUUGGAAGUAAUAAACGUCUGAAUUUCUCGGCCAAUCAUUUCAUCGUAGCAGUAUCCUUAGUUUACCUUCUUCCAGGAGAUAUACCGUAUGAACAUAAUGAUGAAACCGACUUUGUGCUGAUGAAGCUGUCUAGGCCAGUACCAUUUACAAAUUACAUUCGUCCGGCAUGCAUUUCCAGCAGUUACAACCAAUUCACAGAAAAUGAUGUGUGCUAUGUUACCGGAUUUGGUGUUCAGGGUAGUAUCAGGUGGACCCAUUGUCGCGAUGCAUGAGGUUCCAGUGGACCUUUUUAGCAGCGAAAAGUGCAACGAAUUUCAAGGAACAGCUAUGAGAAUGACAGAAAACGAAAUAUGUGCUGGAAGACGUGAGGGCGGCAUGGAUACUUGCCAAGGUGAUAGUGGUGGUCCACUCGUUUGCCUAGGAGAAGAUGAGAAAUGGUAUCUUUUUGGGAUAACGAGCUAUGGACAGGGUUGUGCCGAAAGAUUUCGACCUGGCGUGUAUCAUCGUGUUUUUCCGUAUUUGGAUUUCA
rnacentral:misc_RNA from 1 species